rnacentral:rRNA from 1 species
CCCAUACCGCGUGGGUGAAGAAGGCCUUCGGGUUGUAAAGCCCUUUUGUUGGGAAAGAAAUCCAGCUGGUUAAUACCCGGUUGGGAUGACGGUACCCAAAGAAUAAGCACCGGCUAACUUCGUGCCAGCAGCCGCGGUAAUAA